rnacentral:rRNA from 1 species
CCUACAGGAGGCAGCAGUGGGGAAUAUUGGACAAUGGGGGGAACCCUGAUCCAGCGACGCCGCGUGAGUGAAGAAGUAUUUCGGUAUGUAAAGCUCUAUCAGCAGGGAAGAAAGAAAUGACGGUACCUGACUAAGAAGCCCCGGCUAACUACGUGCCAGCAGCCGCGGUAAUACGUAGGGGGCAAGCGUUAUCCGGAUUCACUGGGUGUAAAGGGAGCGUAGACGGUUACGCAAGUCUGGAGUGAAAGGCGGGGGCCCAACCCUCGGACUGCUUUGGAAACUGUAAAACUGGAGUGAAGGAGAGGUAGGUGGAAUUCUUGGUGUAGGGGUGAAAUGCGGAGAUAUUAGGAGGAACA